rnacentral:rRNA from 1 species
AUUGAACGCUGGCGGAAUGCUUUACACAUGCAAGUCGAACGGCAGCACGGGGGCAACCCUGGUGGCGAGUGGCGAACGGGUGAGUAAUACAUCGGAACGUGCCCAGUCGUGGGGGAUAACGUAGCGAAAGCUACGCUAAUACCGCAUACGAACUGAGGUUGAAAGCGGGGGAUCGCAAGACCUCGCGCGAUUUGAGCGGCCGAUGGCAGAUUAGGUAGUUGGUGGGGUAAAGGCCUACCAAGCCGACGAUCUGUAGCUGGUCUGAGAGGACGACGAGCCAAAAGGGGAGUGAGACACGGCCCAGACUCCGACGGGAGGCAGCAGUGGGGAAUGUUGGACAAUGGGCGCAAGCCUGAUCCAGCCAUUCCGCGUGCAGGAUGAAGGCCCUCGGGUUGUAAACUGCUUUUGUACGGAACGAAAAGGCUUCCUCUAAUACAGGGGGCUGAUGACGGUACCGUAAGAAUAAGCACCGGCUAACUACGUGCCAGCCGCCGCAGUAAGAC